UCAAGCCAGUGAUGAUACAAGUUAUCCCUGUCUGAAAAAUCCCCUGUGGAGUUACGGUAACCUGAGGCUAGG
ensembl:snoRNA